ensembl:lncRNA
AAUUAUUGGUGCGGUUUAUACACGGUGCAGCUUAUGAACAGGGAAUUAUUACUGCAAGUCAGAGACAGAUAUGGCGGCAGGGAGGGACAAACAAGGACUAUAAGACCUGGACUGUAUCUGAUUCUCCUGAAGGAAUCAUCAACGCUUUCCUUUACAAUUGCUAACAGACUUGUGCAUUAGGAGGACAUGAGCCCUUGGACCACACCUCAGGACCACCAGGCCAAAGGACUGAUAGCUGUCCCUGUCCAAAUCCUCCAGGUUGUGUUGCCAAUCCAGUAGUUGUCUGACGAUUCCGGCUGGCUGAUUGUCUCUCCUCACCUGAUUGUCCCUGUCUUUGUCCACCUGGUCAUGUACAGUAGCAGUCUUGGACUAUGUUUUAUAAACUCUG